AAGACCCAAAAAUCAAAGUCAAUCAAAGGUAUGUAAUAUAUAUACAUACGAUCCAAAAAAAAACCCUAAAUCUCGUUGUCUAACAAGCUAAAAUGAAACAGGAAAGUGUUGUUCCUUUCUUUUUAAUUACUCUUUUUGCAAUUGUCUUCAUUCUUUCUAGGAUGACAAUUGUCCAAGCACAAAUACGAUCACCACCAUUUCUUUGGGCCAGUUGUAAUUGGGAUGAAAUGGCAAUUUACGAGAAGGAAAAAAAGUGGCACCAAUGAACCACACCAAGUGAAGGGGGCGGCUAGGGACAAAAGGAUAAGCUCACAAUAGGUCAUAUCCAUUACGGGUGUUUGAUUUGGUGUAUACAUCUUGUAUUUCAUAAGUCAUGUUCAUUAUGGAUGUUUGAUUAUUAAUCAUGUACAAUGAUAAAUUGUAAGGAAUAAAUGUUGUUAUAAUGGAUGAAUAUAUAUUAUUAUUAUCGGUAAAA